rnacentral:rRNA from 1 species
UUUAUAAAGAGUUUGAUCCUGGCUCAGGACGAACGCUGGCGGCGCGCCUAACACAUGCAAGUCGAACGAGCGAGAGAGAGCUUGCUUUCUCGAGCGAGUGGCGAACGGGUGAGUAACGCGUGAGGAACCUGCCUCAAAGAGGGGGACAACAGUUGGAAACGACUGCUAAUACCGCAUAAGCCCACGGCUCGGCAUCGAGCAGAGGGAAAAGGAGCAAUC